rnacentral:rRNA from 1 species
AACGAACGCUGGCGGCAUGCCUAACACAUGCAAGUCGAACGAUGGUCUUCGGAUCAUCGUGGCGCACGGGUGCGUAACGCGUGGGAAUCUGCCCUUGGGUUCGGAAUAACAGUUGGAAACGACUGCUAAUACCGGAUGAUGUCGAUAAGACCAAAGAUUUAUCGCCCGAGGAUGAGCCCGCGUCGGAUUAGCUAGUUGGUGGGGUAAAGGCCUACCAAGGCGACGAUCCGUAGCUGGUCUGAGAGGAUGAUCAGCCACACUGGGACUGAGACACGGCCCAGACUCCUACGGGAGGCAGCAGUGGGGAAUAUCGGACAAUGGGCGCAAGCCUGAUCCAGCAAUGCCGCGUGAGUGAUGAAGGCCUUAGGGUUGUAAAGCUCUUUUACCCGGGAAGAUAAUGACUGUACCGGGAGAAUAAGCCCCGGCUAACUCCGUG